CCUACGGGUGGCAGCAGUGGGGAAUAUUGCGCAAUGGGCGAAAGCCUGACGCAGCGACGCCGCGUGAGGGAUGAAGGUCUUCGGAUCGUAAACCUCUGUCAGCAGGGAAGAACGGUCACUGUGCUAAUCAGCAGUGAAUUGACGGUACCUGCAAAGGAAGCACCGGCUAACUCCGUGCCAGCAGCCGCGGUAAUACGGAGGGUGCGAGCGUUAAUCGGAAUUACUGGGCGUAAAGCGCUCGUAGGCGGUAUGUCAAGUCAAGGGUGAAAUCCCCGCGCUCAACGUGGGAACUGCCUUUGAAACUGGCAAACUGGAGUGUGGGAGAGGAGAGUGGAAGUCCAGGUGUAGGAGUGAAAUCCGUAGAUAUCGGGAGGAACAUCAGUGGCGAAGGCGACUAUCUGGAACAUAACUGACGCUGAGGAGCGAAAGCGUGGGUAGCAAACAGGAUUAGAUACCCUAGUAGUC
rnacentral:rRNA from 1 species